rnacentral:rRNA from 1 species
UGAAGUUGGAAUCGCUAGUAAUCGCGGAUCAGCAUGCCGCGGUGAAUACGUUCCCGGGCCUUGUACACACCGCCCGUCACACCAUGAGAGUCGGGAACACCCGAAGUCAGUGACCCAACCGAGAGGAGGGAGCUGCCGAAGGCGGGAUGGAUAACUGGGGUGAAGUCGUAACAAGGUAAC